GACGAACGCUGGCGGCGUGCUUAACACAUGCAAGUCGAACGGUGAAGCGCCUUCCUUUUUGGUGGGUGUGGAUGAGUGGCGAACGGGUGAGUAACACGUGAGUAACCUGCCCCCUUCUUCUGGAUAACCGCAUGAAAGUGUGGCUAAUACGGGAUAUUCUGGGUCUGUCGCAUGAUGGGUCUGGGAAAGAUAUUGUUUCGGUGGGGGAUGGGCUCGCGGCCUAUCAGCUUGUUGGUGGGGUGAUGGCCUACCAAGGCGGUGACGGGUAGCCGGCCUGAGAGGGUGGACGGUCACACUGGGACUGAGACACGGCCCAGACUCCGACGGGAGGCAGCAGUGGGGAAUAUUGCACAAUGGGGGCAAGCCUGAUGCAGCGACGCCGCGUGAGGGAUGGAGGCCUUCGGGUUGUGAACCUCUUUCGCCAGUGAAGCAGGCCUGCCUCGUUUGUGGGUGGGUUGACGGUAGCUGGAUAAGAAGCGCCGGCUAACUACGUG
rnacentral:rRNA from 1 species